GGCUCCGUGGCGGGUGGUCCGCGUCUGCAGUUCUUAAAUGAUAAGGAGGAGUUUACAGAAUUUGUCUGUUCGAAUCAGGUCGGAGCCG